GCAACACGUUAGGGGUCCUCACGGCGAGCGCCGCGGGGUGAGAUAGACCCUUAUAACCUGAUGCGGGUAAUGCCGUCGUAGGGAAGCGUGGUGUAGCCCCC
rnacentral:ncRNA from 2 species